GGUGCUAACGUCCGGACUCAAAAGGGAAACAACCCAGACCGCCGGCUAAGGUCCCCAAUAACAGCUAAGUGGAAAACGAAGUGGAAAGGCCGUGACAACCAGGAAGUUGGCUUAGAAGCAGCCAUCCUUCAAAGAAAGCGUAAUAGCUCACUGGUCGAGUCCUUCUGCGCGGAAGAUGUAACGGGGCUAAGCUGUUAACCGAAGCCGCGGAUGCACUGAUUAUUCAGUGCGUGGUAGGGGAGCGUUCUGUAAGUCUGCGAAGGCGGUUCGAGAGGACUGCUGGAGAUAUCAGAAGUGCGAAUGCUGACAUGAGUAACGUUAAAGCAGGUGAAAAGCCUGCUCGCCGUAAGCCCAAGGAUUCCUGCUCUACGUUCAUCGGAGCAGGGUGAGUCGGCUCCUAAGGUCAGGCCGAAAGGCGUAGCCGAUGGGAAUCAGGUUAAUAUUCCUGAACCUGCGUCAGAUGCGAUGGGGGGACGGAGCAUGAAAGAUCAUCCGGGUGUUGGAUGUCCCGGUUGACGAGCGUAGGAGGUCUGCAGGCAAAUCCGCAGACGCAUCUCCAAGGCGAAGUCACGUGCCGCCACGGCGGCGAAGUGAUCGGAAGUGCUUCCAAGAAAAGCCUCUAAGCACCAGUCUGGCGCGGACCGUACCGCAAACCGACACUGGUGGGCGAGCUGAAUAUGCUCAGGCGCUUGAGAGAACUCGGGAGAAGGAACUCGGCAAAUUGACACCGUAACUUCGGAAGAAGGUGUGCCGUAGUAGCGUGAGAGGAGAGACACCUUGAGCGUGAAUCGGUCUCAGAGAAUAGGUGGCUGCGACUGUUUAUUAAAAACACAGCACUCUGCAAAGUCGAAAGACGACGUAUAGGGUGUGAUGCCUGCCCGGUGCUGGAAGAUUAAUUGAUGGGGUGAGAGCCCUUGAUCGAAGUCCCAGUAAACGGCGGCCGUAACUAUAACGGUCCUAAGGUAGCGAAAUUCCUUGUCGGGUAAGUUCCGACCUGCACGAAUGGCAUAACGAUGGCCACACUGUCUCCUCCCGAGACUCAGUGAAGUUGAAAUGUUUGUGAUGAUGCAAUCUACCCGCGGCUAGACGGAAAGACCCCAUGAACCUUUACUGCAGCUUUGCAUUGAACUGUGAACCGAUUUGUGUAGGAUAGGUGGGAGGCAGAGAAGAGGCCACGCCAGUGGUCUUGGAGCCGACCUUGAAAUACCACCCUGAUUUGUUUGCGGUUCUAACCACGGACAGUGAUCCUGUCUUGGGACCGUGCAUGGUAGGCAGUUUGACUGGGGCGGUCUCCUCCUAAAGGGUAACGGAGGAGUACGAAGGUACGCUAGGUACGGUCGGAAAUCGUGCUGAUAGUGCAAUGGCAAAAGCG
rnacentral:rRNA from 1 species